AGCAGCACCCCCGGGGGAUGACCUCACUGGAUGUCCUGCUGGUGUCACCAGGCUGCAGGGGGACCUGGGGGCAUGACAGUGCCCGUCAAGCUGAGGAAACAAAGUGCCAGAGGAGACGCGUCUGGACAGGGACACAGGAAAGCGAUGCUAGGAUGACGGUCACUGCGUCUAAGCGUGAUUGUACAAGUGGAAAGCCUUUUCAUUCGAAUCCUUCCUGCUUUGCUCUGGUGCCAGUCAGAAUCCUGAAACCUAAUUACUUUUCUCAGAGUCCACAGCUGGAAAUCACCACAUGUGACCUUUUUUUUUUUGUCAUGUCUAAAACAGGCAAGAAAUAUAUUCUUGACUUUAGCGAUACUGCAUAGGACAAAAGAAUUCUGGAAAAAUACAAAUGUAAGCUACAUUUCUUCUUUACCAUUUAAGCUGAGAGAUACCACUCACAUUCAUAUUUCUUAAACUUUUUACAUCACAACUGUCAUUUUAAACAAGCAAACUUUUUUUUUUUUUUAAGGAUACCCUGGAAAGUCAACUGAUAGAGCAGUUUGAGAAUAUAUAUACAUCCAUAAAAAAAAAAUCACAGGUGCAUAAAUGGGGACACUUACAGACAAGACUGUGUGUGGUGGAAGUUAUGAAGGAAGAAAACAUACGAUGACUCUUUCAUCGGAAUAAGG